rnacentral:rRNA from 1 species
UACGAGAGGCGCAAACGUUAUUCGGAUUUACUGGGCUUAAAGAGUUCGUAGGCGGCGCGGAAAGUGGGGUGUGAAAGCCCUCGGCUUAACCGAGGAAUUGCGCUCCAAACUACCGUGCUUGAGGAAGCUAGAGGUGAGCAGAACUGAUGGUGGAGCGGUGAAAUGCGUUGAUAUCAUCAGGAAUACCGGAGGCGAAGGCGGCUCACUGGGGCUUUCUGACGCUGAGGAACGAAAGCCAGGGUAGCGAACGGG